rnacentral:rRNA from 1 species
CCUACGGGUGGCAGCAGUGAGGAAUAUUGGUCAAUGGACGAGAUCCUGAACCAGCCAUGUCGCGUGAAGGAUGACUGCCCUACGGGUUGUAAACUUCUUUUAUAUGGGAAUAAAAUGUUCCACGUGUGGGCUUUUGUAUGUACCAUAUGAAUAAGGCUCGGCUAACUCCGUGCCAGCAGCCGCGGUAAUACGGAGGAUCCGAGCGUUAUCCGGAUUUAUUGGGUUUAAAGGGGGCGUAGGUGGAUUUAUAAGUUAGUUGUGAAAUAUUGAGGCUCAACCGUAGAGCUGCAGUUGAAACUGGCAGUCUUGAGUACAGAAGAGGUAGGCGGAAUGCGUGGUGUAGCGGUGAAAUGCAUAGAUAUCACGCAGAACUCCGAUUGCGAAGGUAGCUCACUGGACUGCAACUGACACUGAUGCUCGAAAGUGUGGGGAUCGAACAGGAUUAGAUACCCCAGUAGUC